rnacentral:rRNA from 1 species
CUGGCUCAGGAUGAACGCUAGCUACAGGCUUAACACAUGCAAGUCGAGGGGCAUCAUGACGAUAGCUUGCUAUAGUUGAUGGCGACCGGCGCACGGGUGAGUAACGCGUAUCCAACCUUCCCUUAGUAGGGCAUAGCCCGGCGAAAGUCGGAUUAAUACCCUAUGUUAUUCGUAGAGGACAUCUGAAGUGAAUCAAAGAUUAAUCGCUAAGGGAUGGGGAUGCGUCCGAUUAGGUAGUCGGCGGGGUAACGGCCCACCGAGCCUUCGAUCGGUAGGGGUUCUGAGAGGAAGGUCCCCCACACUGGUACUGAGACACGGACCAGACUCCUACGGGAGGCAGCAGUGAGGAAUAUUGGUCAAUGGACGGGAGUCUGAACCAGCCAAAAGUAGCGUGCAGGAAGACGGCCCUAUGGGUUGUAAACUGCUUUUAUACGGGGAUAAAGUCGCCCACGUGUGGGUGUUUGUAGGUACCGUAUGAAUAAGGACCGGCUAAUUCCGUGCCAGCCGCCGC